UAUUCAAAUAAAACAGCCAAAGUCAAGUCUCCAGCAGCAUACAUUUAAUAAAUGUAAUAGUUUUGUUUUAGAAGUAGUAAGUUUAUUCAAAUUAAAAUAUGCAGUUUGAUUGUAGUAUAACUGAAUGUAUAGUAGAUGUCAAUUACAUACAGUAAGCAUCUUUACAUUUUUUUUCUUUCUUUCCGCGAUUCCAGUAUGGCAAUAUGGCGCGAUCAGUCACGUUGACAAGUCGGUCCACACAAAUUCAUCCAUACACAGGACAUUGUCAUCAGCUGUCUGCUUACUUCAAAACAGAAUCUCAGACUGACCUUGCCAGAACAAAAAGGAUGAUGUAUGCUGAGAUGAGAACUAAGGGCUCCUAUGUGAAGGUGACCUGCUUAUAAGAGUCCUUGUGUCUCACCUAUGGAACAGGAUGGAUUUGACCAGAGUGACCACAUCCCGACUGGCGUUAUGACCAGCACACACACAUGCCACGUGAAUCAACUG